rnacentral:rRNA from 1 species
UGGGGAAUAUUGGACAAUGGGCGCAAGCCUGAUCCAGCCAUGCCGCGUGUGUGAAGAAGGCCUUCGGGUUGUAAAGCACUUUUGUCCGGAAAGAAAAGCGCUCGAUUAAUACUCGGGUGUUAUGACGGUACCGGAAGAAUAAGCACCGGCUAACUUCGUGCCAGCAGCCGCGGUAAUACGAAGGGUGCAAGCGUUACUCGGAAUUACUGGGCGUAAAGCGUGCGUAGGUGGUUUGUUAAGUCUGAUGUGAAAGCCCUGGGCUCAACCUGGGAACUGCAUUGGAAACUGGCUUACUAGAGUGCGGUAGAGGGGUGUGGAAUUCCCGGUGUAGCAGUGAAAUGCGUAGAUAUCGGGAGGAACAUCUGUGGCGAAGGCGACACCCUGGACCAGCACUGACACUGAGGCACGAAAGCGUGGGGAGCAAACAGGAUUAGAUACCCUGGUAGUCCACGCCCUAAACGAUGCGAACUGGAUGUUGGGGGCAACUUGGCCCUCAGUAUCGAAGCUAACGCGUUAAGUUCGCCGCCUGGGAAGUACGGUCGCAAGACUG